ACCAUCCCACCGCCGCCGAACGCCCUCCAACCGGAGCACUUGCGCCGUCGCCCCAAACCACGCCAGAGCGGCGGCGCCAAGCACCGAAUUGACCGCAGCCGCCAACCACUCCAGAUCCAAGCCGGCGGCCGCCCUCCACCCAGACCACUGCCGUCCCCCUUCCCAACCACUCCAGAGCGGCGCCACCGAGCCGCCACUCCAGACCACAAGCGGCGACCACCCUCCUCCGCCGAAUGUCUUCCCUCACCACCACCCAUCUCGCGAGCUUCCUCCCCGACCAGGCCUCCUCCCCACAAGCUUCACCAGAGAACCUAGCGGGGACCCCUCCUCUACGUCCUCUACCCCAGGCAGCGGAGCGUCGACCCUCCUCGCGAGCAGCUCUGCCUUUCCCUGGACAGCGCUGCCUUCUCUACUUCCUUGCUCCAACCACGAGAAUUUGACAGGGUGACUAAAAUGCGGUGUCUACCUUGUUUUGGACAAACUUGAACUCCAGGUCUACCGGAGAUUAGUGAAGAAAAUCCAUAUCAUCGAGAGGGAGAAGGAACCAUCUAAGGCACAUCAAAUCAAGCUAGAGGUCUCUGAACCAUUUUAGUAGAGUAGCAGUUUUGCGAAAGGUUUCCCAAAGAUACACUACUUGAUGGAGAUUUGGAUGAUCUACAAGCUGCUGAAGGUUUGCAAGAUCUACUAUUAAGUUGGUGGAGUGAUAAUGUAAUGCGCCUUGUUUGGUGAACCUGGAGACAUUGGCAAGUUCUGCUCAUUUUGGUGGUUGUUUUGGCACAUAGGCCACUAUAUGGCCAUUUUGGUUGCGUGACACAUUUAGAAACAUAUAUACUUCUCCCUUUGUGGAACUACUUCAUUUUGGUUGUGUGGCACGUGUAUCUAGAAACAUUUAUGUACUCUUUUUGUGGCACAAUCUGCUUAUAUACAUUCUUAUGUU
rnacentral:rRNA from 1 species